rnacentral:rRNA from 1 species
UACGAAGGGGGCUAGCGUUGCUCGGAAUUACUGGGCGUAAAGCGCACGUAGGCGGACUCUUAAGUCAGGGGUGAAAUCCCGGGGCUUAACAUCGGAACUGCCUUUGAUACUGUAAGUCUCGAGUCCGGAAGAGGUGAGUGGAAUUCCUAGUGUAGUGGUGAAAUUCGUAGAUAUUAGGAAGAACACCGGUGGCGAAGGCGGUUCACGGGGCCUGUUGUGACUUUGAGUGGCGAAAGCGUGGGGAGCAAACAGG